UACGUAGGGUGCAAGCGUUGUCCGGAAUUAUUGGGCGUAAAGAGCUCGUAGGCGGUCUGUUGCGUCGGCUGUGAAAACCCGGGGCUCAACCCCGGGCCUGCAGCCGAUACGGGCAGACUAGAGUUCGGCAGGGGAGACUGGAAUUCCUGGUGUAGCGGUGAAAUGCGCAGACAUCAGGAGGAACACCGGUGGCGAAGGCGGGUCUCUGGGCCGAUACUGACGCUGAGGAGCGAAAGCGUGGGGAGCGAACAGG
rnacentral:rRNA from 1 species